AACAUGCAGUCGAGCGGUACAGGUGUAGCAAUACAUGCUGACGAGCGGCGGACUAGUACGCUUGGGAAUCUGCCUGUUAGCGGGGUGACAACCCGGGUGAAACUCGUGGCUAAUACCGCAUACGCACUACGGUGGAAAGCCGGGGACCGCAAGGCCUGGCGCUAACAGAUGAGCCCAAGUCGGAUUAGCUAGUUGGUAGGGUAACGGCCUACCAAGGCGACGAUCCGUAACUGGUCUGAGAGGACGACCAGUCACACCGGAACUGAGACACGGUCCGGACUCCUACGGGAGGCAGCAGUGGGGAAUAUUGGACACUGGGGGAAACCCUGAUCCAGCGACGCCGCGUGGGUGAAGAAGGCCUGCGGGUUGUAAAGCCCUUUCAGUGGGGAAGAAAAGCCUCGAGCUAAUACCUCGGGGUCUUGACGUAACCCAUAGAAGAAACACCGGAUAAAA
rnacentral:rRNA from 1 species